rnacentral:rRNA from 1 species
CAGCAGCCGCGGGAAUACGUAGGGUGCAAGCGUUAAUCGGAAUUACUGGGCGUAAAGCGUGCGCAGGCGGUUCUAUAAGACAGAUGUGGAAUCCCCGGGCUCAACCUGGGAACUGCAUUUGUGACUGUAGAGCUGGAGUGCGGCAGAGGGGGAUGGAAUUCCGCGUGUAGCAGUGAAAUGCGUAGAUAUGCGGAGGAACACCGAUGGCGAAGGCAAUCCCCUGGGCCUGCACUGACGCUCAUGCACGAAAGCGUGGGGAGCAAACAGGAUUAGAUACCCCGGUAGUCCCUGUCUCUUAUAC